AUUGAACGCUGGCGGCAGGCCUAACACAUGCAAGUCGAGCGGAUGAGUGGAGCUUGCUCCAUGAUUCAGCGGCGGACGGGUGAGUAAUGCCUAGGAAUCUGCCUGGUAGUGGGGGACAACGUUUCGAAAGGAACGCUAAUACCGCAUACGUCCUACGGGAGAAAGUGGGGGAUCUUCGGACCUCACGCUAUCAGAUGAGCCUAGGUCGGAUUAGCUAGUUGGUGAGGUAAAGGCUCACCAAGGCGACGAUCCGUAACUGGUCUGAGAGGAUGAUCAGUCACACUGGAACUGAGACACGGUCCAGACUCCUACGGGAGGCAGCAGUGGGGGAUAUUGGACAAUGGGCGAAAGCCUGAUCCAGCCAUGCCGCGUGUGUGAAGAAGGUCUUCGGAUUGUAAAGCACUUUAAGUUGGGAGGAAGGGCAGUAAGUUAAUACCUUGCUGUUUUGACGUUACCAACAGAAUAAGCACCGGCUAACUCUGUGCCAGCCGCCGCAGUAACAC
rnacentral:rRNA from 1 species